AACGAACGUUAGCGGCGCGCUUAACACAUGCAAGUCGCACGAGAAAGGGCUUCGGCCCCGGUACAGUGGCGCACGGGUGAGUAGCACGUGGGUAAUCUUCCCUUGGGCGGGGGAUAACCUUCCGAAAGGAGGGCUAAUACCGCAUAAGACCACGAGCUCGAAAGAGCAUGAGGUCAAAGCCGGCCUCUCAAUUGAAGCUGGCACCUAAGGAUGAGUCCGCGUCCCAUCAGCUAGUUGGCAGGGUAAUGGCCUACCAAGGCAAAGACGGGUAACUGUCUGAGAGGAUGAUCAGUCACACUGGAACUGGGACACGGUCCAGACUCCUACGGGAGGCAGCAGUGGGGAAUCUUGCGCAAUGGGCGAAAGCCUGACGCAGCGACGCCGCGUGAGUGAUGAAGGCCUUCGGGUUGUAAAGCUCUGUGGGGAGAGACGAAUAAGUCGGGGCGAAUACCCUCGAUGAUGACGGUAUCUCCUUAGCAAGCACCGGCUAACUCUGUGCCAGCAGCCGCGGUAAGAC
rnacentral:rRNA from 1 species